CAACAACGGAUCUCUUGGUUCUGGCAUCGAUGAAGAACGCAGCGAAAUGCGAUAAGUAAUGCGAAUUGCAGAAUCCGUGAGUCAUCGAAUCUUUGAACGCACAUUGCGCCCUCUGGUAUUCCGGAGGGCAUGCCUGUUCGAGC
rnacentral:rRNA from 1 species